rnacentral:rRNA from 1 species
CCAGCAGCCGCGGUAAUACGUAGGGGGCUAGCGUUAUCCGGAAUUACUGGGCGUAAAGGGUGCGUAGGUGGUUUCUUAAGUCAGAGGUGAAAGGCUACGGCUCAACCGUAGUAAGCCUUUGAAACUGGGAAACUUGAGUGCAGGAGAGGAGAGUGGAAUUCCUAGUGUAGCGGUGAAAUGCGUAGAUAUUAGGAGGAACACCAGUUGCGAAGGCGGCUCUCUGGACUGUAACUGACACUGAGGCACGAAAGCGUGGGGAGCAAACAGGAUUAGAUACCCUGGUAGUCCACGCCGUAAACGAUGAGUACUAGCUGUCGGAGGUUACCCCCUUCGGUGGCGCAGCUAACGCAUUAAGUACUCCGCCUGGGAAGUACGCUCGCAAGAGUGAAACUCAAGGAAUUGACGGGGACCCGCACAAGUAGCGGAGCAUGUGGUUUAAUUCGAAGCAACGCGAAGAACCUUACCUAAGCUUGACAUCUUCUGACUCUCCUAAUCGGAGAUUCCCUUCGGGACAGAGUGACAGUGUGCAUGUUGUCGUCAGCUCGUGUCGUGAGAUGUUGGGUUAAGCCCCGCAACGAGCGCAACCCUUGCCUUUAGUUGCCAGCAUUAAGUUGGGCACUCUAGAGGGACUGCCAGGGAUAACCUGGAGGAAGGUGGGGAUGACGUCAAAUCAUCAUGCCCCUUAUGCUUAGGGCUACACACGUGCUACAAUGGGUGGUACAGAGGGCAGCCAAGUCGUGAGGCGGAGCUAAUCCCUUAAAGCCAUUCUCAGUUCGGAUUGUAGGCUGAAACUCGCCUACAUGAAGCUGGAGUUACUAGUAAUCGCAGAUCAGAAUGCUGCGGUGAAUGCGUUCCCGGGUCUUGUACACACCGCCCGUCACACCACGGAAGUUGGGGGCGCCCGAAGCCGGAUUGCUAACCUUUUGGAAGCGUCCGUCGAAGGUGAAAUCAAUAACUGGGGUGAAGUCGUAACAAGGUAGCCGAU